UCUCUCUAAAAUUUCUCUGAUUCAAUUGCUGGUUAUAUAAUUGAUACAAUCACAAAUCCAAAUCAAUAAACCCAGAUCAACAAGAUGAAACAUAUCAAUUCAAUUGCGGCGUUUCUAGAAGUGAUUAUCAUGUCGUUGCUGAUGAAUCUCAACCUCAGCCAAUCCAAUCAAUCGAUACUGCUUCCCACUUGACUUCGCUGCUUCUUCACAUAAGGAAACCCUAGAAGCGAAAUCUCAACCUCAGUAUGGAGCAACAAGGGUGGAUAUUGAUCUUGCUGGCUAACGGUUCUGGGAGCGAAAAGGAGAUCAAAAGGCCAUCAUAUGGCUUCAUUAUCGUACAUGGGAAAUUUGAGAUGAAUCUGAUUGAUGAACAAAAUCUCAGUUUAUAGCAAUUUGUAGAAUCCUUAACCCUCUGUUUUCUUGAUGUGGACUGUCACAAAUCCGGAUUGAGAAUAAAGUUCAUGAUUACAUGAACUCACAAGCCAAAUUCGAAGACAAGAUGUGGGCGAUUCUGAAUGUCUGGCUGAAUGAAGAUCAACUAUGGAUAAUCUUUCUAGAGUCACUCACAAGAUGAAAGAUGUUGACAUCGACAUCCAGCCACUCUUCAUGUUCAUCAGUUGGAAGAUCAAGACUCGGAAAAAUGGCUACAUUUAUCACCGUCAGCUUUUGAGAAAUUUGAUGUUGACGGGGAUGGAUAUAUAACUCCAGAGGAGCUUAGAAUGAUUUGGUGAUAAGUGGAUCAAUAAGGAGAUGACGACAAUGACGUUGAAGGAGAGCCAGUGAUAAGUUAUAGGGGUGGCAUUGAUGGUUUUGAAGCUACUGCUGUUGAAUCUGAUCAGAAACUUGAUGUCACUAGGUUAGUGAUCUUAUAACCUCCCUUUACUAACAAUCCACUGCUUAGUAGCUAUCCACUGAUGUACUAACUAUCCACUGAUAACCCCCCUUUACUAACUAUCCACUACUUACUAGCUAUCCACUGAUAUUACUACAUAACAGUGGAUAUUACUAACAUAUCAUAAUAGUGGAUACUACUAACAGUGGAUAUUACUAAAAUAUCAGAAUGGCUAAUGGAAAAAGUUGUUGAGGAGGUAUUUCUUUUUGUGUAUGUAUCGAUUCUUUACUAAAAAAAAUGGCAGUUUUUUUUUUUCAACGUCAGUUGAAGUUUCCUAUGUUUUCUGCAUGUUUUUCGCUACUUGGGUACACUCCCUCAACCGUUGCCCCUAAAAUUAUCAAUAUAAACUCCUUCACCUUCACUUUCAAAUCCUCUUCUUUUUAAAAUUUCUCUGAUUUCGAUUGCUGGUUAUAAUGGAUACAAUCACAAAUCCAAAUCAGUAAGAUGGAACAUAUCAAUUCAAUUGCGGUGUUGAAUCAUUGCUUUAUCCCAAUAAAACUCCCUUCCCUUUUCAUACUUCUGAAGAAUCAUUCUUCGUUUGUUGAAUCAUUGCUUUAUCGUCAACUCUUGGCGGGGUAAAAUUCGGAGGGCUCGUGGUAGAAAUUGAUAGUUUCUACCAUUGAAGCAACCGUGAUUUUGCAGCCAUGUAGUUCAUCAUGCUCGCCACUCAGUUGAAUUGGUACUCACUUCUGUGAAUACCUAUUUAAAUUGCAAAUUAGGGUUUCAAAUUGGGGUUGAGGAUGUUCUGCAACAGGUCCCUUCAUCGCGUUUUCAUUCAAGCGAUUCUUUCGUUCAUACCUCACUCCCCAGUGUCGAUUUUUUUUGUAGAUUUCUCAAGGUGUUUGAUGAAAUGCUACAUAUGAUCAAGUGGAGCAAUUGUUAAAAUUCUCUUUGUUUUAUGAUUCUUAUGUUUUCUGUGUGGGGAUUCGAGGGGUUUCGGAGGGCGAAGAGGGGUUUCGGAAGGGGGUUUGUCGAGUCGAAUU
rnacentral:lncRNA from 1 species